GACAGAGGGUGCAAGCGUUGUUCGGAAUUAUUGGGCGUAAAGGGCGCGUAGGUGGCCAUGUAAGUCAGAUGUGAAAGCCCUGGGCUCAACCCAGGAAGUGCAUCUGAUACUGCGUGGCUUGAGUUCCGGAGAGGAUGGUGGAAUUCCCAGUGUAGAGGUGAAAUUCGUAGAUAUUGGGAGGAACACCGGUGGCGAAGGCGACCAUCUGGACGAGAACUGACACUGAGGCGCGAAAGCGUGGGGAGCAAACAGG
rnacentral:rRNA from 1 species